UUCUCUCCAUUCUAUAGACUGAUGAUCUGAAAACUUGAAGAGUAACAGAAAUCUUCUACUUUGGACAUUUAGUCUAAGGAUCAUAGAAAAAGAAGCAUGAUGUGAGUGUGGGCAUCAUAUUAAAGUGCAUGGAGAUUCAUUCAACAGUCAACUUUAACAGAGAAUAGGGCUUCCUCUCAUCUGUCUCUUUCCUCGGAGAGGUGACUCUGGCUGGCAGCGUACUAAGCAUUCUGACAUCUUGGUGUGGUGGCAGUGAGACCUGGACCAUCCAAGAUGAGUGAGCAUCAGACAGGAGGCAACAAAAUGAUGCACAACAUUUGAUGAAUGAGGGAGUCUAAAAGAGAAUAGGAGUAAAGGAUGUCAUCAAAGAACUGGAUGACAGAAAAAGGAGAGAUCUCAUGGUAAGAGCAAAGGAUGACAGGCUAAUGGCCACUAGUGUCUUAAUAAAGUCAUGAGAAACUGAACAUGGGCAACCAAGAUUAGAGGGGAAGCAACAAACUGGGAAAAAAUUUACAAUAAAUUUCUCUGAUAAAGAUCUUAUUUCUCAAAUAUAUAAAGAAUUAAAUCAAAUUUGUAAGAAGUCAAGUUGUUAAGUCAGUUGAUAAAUGGUAGAAGGAUAUAAACAGGGGUUUUCAGAUGAAGAAAUCAAAGCUAUCAAUUAUAAUAUAAAAAUUGUUCUAAAUCCCUUGAUCAGAGAAGUGCAAAUCAAAAUAACUCUGAGGUACCACCUCACAUCUAGCAGAUUGGCCAAUAUGACAGUAAAGGAAAAUAGUAAAUGUUGGAGGAUAUCUGGGAAAAUUGAUGCACUAAUGCAUAGCUGGUGGAGUUGUGAAUUGAUCCAACCAUUCUGGAAGGCAAUUUGAAAUUAUACCCAAAGGGCUUUAAAAAAUGCAUGACUGGGGGCAGCUGGGUUGCUCAGUAGAUUGAGAGUCAGGCCCAGAG